GACGAAGCGUGCGAACGUUGUUCGGAAUCACUGGGCUUAAAGGGCGCGUAGGCGGGCUGUCAAGUCUGGGGUGAAAUCCCGCGGCUCAACCGUGGAACUGCCUCAGAUACUGACGGCCUCGAGGGAGGUAGGGGCGAGCGGAACUAAUGGUGGAGCGGUGAAAUGCGUUGAUAUCAUUAGGAACUCCGGUGGCGAAGGCGGCUCGCUGGACCUCUUCUGACGCUGAGGCGCGAAAGCCAGGGGAGCAAACGGG
rnacentral:rRNA from 1 species